GUAGGGAAUAUUGGGCAAUGGGUGCAAGCCUGACCCAGCCAUCCCGCGUGCCGGAUGAAGGCCCUCUGGGUCGUAAACGGCUUUUGACGGUGAAGAACCGACAGGAUGCGUCCUGUUUUGACGGUAGCCGUUGAAUAAGCACCGGCUAACUCCGUGCCAGCAGCCGCGGUAAUACGGAGGGUGCGAGCGUUGUCCGGAUUUAUUGGGUUUAAAGGGUGCGUAGGCUGGAAGGUCAGUCAGCGGUGAAAAGCUAUCGCUUAACGAUAGUCUUGCCGCAGAUACUUCCUUUCUUGGAUGAGGAGGAGGCCACUGGAACGGAUGGUGUAGCGGUGAAAUGCAUAGAUAUCAUCCAGAACACCGAUUGCGAAGGCAGGUGGCUGUACCUUAAUCGACGCUGAUGCACGAAAGCAUGGGGAGCAAACAGGAUUAGAUACCCUAGUAGUCC
rnacentral:rRNA from 1 species